AGAGUUUGAUCCUGGCUCAGGACGAACGCUGGCGGCGUGCCUAAUACAUGCAAGUCGAGCGGACCGAACGAGAGCUUGCUCUUGUUCGGUCAGCGGCGGACGGGUGAGUAACACGUGGGCAACCUGCCCGCAAGACCGGGAUAACUCCGGGAAACCGGAGCUAAUACCGGAUAACACCAAAGACCGCAUGGUCUUUGGUUGAAAGGCGGCUUCGGCUGUCACUUGCGGAUGGGCCCGCGGCGCAUUAGCUAGUUGGUGAGGUAACGGCUCACCAAGGCGACGAUGCGUAGCCGGCCCGAGAGGGUGACCGGCCACACUGGGACUGAGACACGGCCCAGACUCCUACGGGAGGCAGCAGUAGGGAAUCUUUCGCAAUGGACGAAAGUCUGACGGAGCGACGCCGCGUGAGCGAAGAAGGCCUUCGGGUCGUAAAGCUCUGUUGUGAGGGACGAAGGAGCGCCGUUUGAAUAAGGCGGCGCGGUGACGGUACCUCACGAGAAAGCCCCGGCUAACUACGUGCCAGCAGCCGCGGUAAUACGUAGGGGGCGAGCGUUGUCCGGAAUUAUUGGGCGUAAAGCGCGCGCAGGCGGUCCUUUAAGUCUGAUGUGAAAGCCCACGGCUCAACCGU
rnacentral:rRNA from 1 species